rnacentral:rRNA from 1 species
UACGGGGGGUGCGAGCGUUGUCCGGAUUUAUUGGGCGUAAAGAGCUCGUAGGCGGCUCGUUGCGUCGGCUGUGAAAACCCGCAGCUCAACUGUGGGCUUGCAGCCGAUACGGGCGGGCUGGAGUUCGGUAGGGGAGACUGGAAUUCCUGGUGUAGCGGUGAAAUGCGCAGAUAUCAGGAGGAACACCGGUGGCGAAGGCGGGUCUCUGGGCCGAUACUGACGCUGAGGAGCGAAAGCGUGGGGAGCGAACAGG